GAAAAUCACAUACUGUGGCCACGAAUUGAAUGAGUUUGUGCCACAGAGAACCUGUGCUUACAUCAGUCAACAUGAUCUUCACCAUGGAGAGAUGACAGUGAGAGAGACACUGGAUUUCUCAGGACGAUGCUUAGGUGUGGGUACAAGAUAUGAACUGCUGGCUGAACUUUCGAGAAGAGAGAAACAACAAGGAAUUAAGCCGGAUCCUGAGAUUGAUGCAUUCAUGAAAGCCGUGGCAGUUGCAGGCCAAGAGACUAGCUUGGUUACAGAUUAUGUUCUCAAGGUUUGCUCUUCAUUUCAACUUAGCUUAUUUCGUUCGUAACAUAUUUCAUGAUACUUAAGAUUUAGAAUUUGUAACAGCUUCUUGGCUUGGACAUAUGCGCCGAUACUAUGGUUGGUGAUGAGAUGAGAAGAGGUAUUUCUGGUGGACAGAAAAAGCGUGUUACAACAGGUAUGUUGCCUUCGACAAGUCCUUGAAAUUCUUGUUUCUUCAGUCACAAGUUUCUCUAGUAGUAGCUGCUUUAUAAUUACUAUGAAAUUGUUUUGUUCUUCUAUUGCAAGUAUUAACAUUUACAAUCUAAUUGUGUGCAGGAGAGAUGUUAGUCGGAGCAGCAAAGGUACUUUUAAUGGAUGAAAUAUCAACUGGAUUGGAUAGCUCUACCACUUUUCAGAUUUGCAAGUUUUUGAAGCAAAUGGUUCACAUCAUGGACGUAACAAUGAUCGUUGCUCUUCUGCAACCAGCACCAGAGACCUAUGAUCUCUUUGACGACAUUAUCUUAAUUUCAGAAGGUCAAAUUGUCUAUCAUGGCCCACGUGAUAAUGUCCUCGAGUUCUUUGAACAAAUGGGUUUCAAAUGCCCUGAAAGAAAAGGAGUUGCAGAUUUUCUGCAGGAAGUUACUUCGAAGAAGGAUCAAGAACAAUAUUGGUUUAGAAAAAAUCAACCCUACAGAUAUAUUCCAGUGUCUGAUUUUGUGGAAGGUUUCAAAUCUUUCCACAUGGGCCAGCAGCUUGCGUCGGAUCUUAGGGUCCCUUAUGAUAAAUCCCAAACCCACCCCGCUGCAUUGGUGAAAGAGAAGUAUGGUAUUUCAAAAUGGGAAUUAUUCAGGGCAUGUUUUGCAAGGGAGUGGCUGCUAAUGAAGCGCAAUUCGUUUGUAUAUAUUUUCAAGACUUUCCAGUUAACAUUCAUGUCCUUAAUUUGCAUGACGGUGUUCUUUAGAACAGAAAUGUCAGUGGGAGAUCUGGAAGGUGGCAAUAAGUAUUUCGGAGCACUGUUUUUCAGUCUGCUUAAUAUUAUGUUUAACGGGAUGGCAGAACUUUCAAUGACUGUUUUGAGGCUACCUGUAUUUUAUAAACAAAGGGAUCACUUAUUCUAUCCUGCGUGGGCUUUUGCCUUACCUAUAUGGGUUCUCCGGAUCCCAUUAUCACUCCUGGAUUCAACAAUAUGGAUCGUUCUGACCUACUACACAAUAGGUUUUGCUCCAGCGGCAAGCAGGUAAAAGUAGUACUCAGAUUUACAGCUUAUUUUCAUUGUACUUCUACACCAUAGGAUUUUGAGUUUAUAUUUCCAUAUUUUAUUGUUUUGUCAAAGAUUGCAUCUGUGCUAGCUACAUAGUGGUUAGAGUUUCUUUGACUGAAAUUUAUUUCAUUUUUUCUUCGUUCAGGUUCUUCAAACAAUACUUGGCAUACUUUUGUAUACACAAUAUGGCUCUGCCCCUUUACCGGUUCAUUGCUGCUAUUGGAAGAACUGAGGUUAUUACAAACGCACUGGGUACUUUUGCCUUGUUACUCAUUUUUUCACUCGGAGGAUUCAUCAUUGCCAAAGGUAAGUUGAUUUCCUUUUUCUCACUAUGUUAUUAAUAGUGGCAAGGAUUGGUAUUUUGAAUAAGAAAUCUGAAACCUUUGAUAGAAGCUAUUUUCUCUUUAGUUCAAGCAGUCAUUUACUUUUUGUCUGCAGAUGACAUUGAGCCAUUCCUGGAAUGGGGCUACUAUGUUUCGCCUAUGAUGUAUGGACAGACUUCCAUACUUGUAGAUGAAUUCCUUGAUGGAAGAUGGGAUGUGGUAAGACCUUUUAUGCUUUGGCUAUUUCUUCCUGGCCAUAAUUCAUCUUCCAAUGCUUAUAUAUCUCAUUCUAUUGCAGCCCAGUGGAGACCGCAGCAUUAAUGAACGUACACUUGGGAAAGCACUUCUCAAGAGGAGAGGCUUCUACAAUGACAGUUACUGGUAUUGGAUUGGCAUCGGAGCACUGAUUGGAUUUUCUUUUCUCUUCAACUUUUUGUUUAUUGCAGCAUUGACUUACUUGAAUCGUAAGUUAUCGAAUUUAAACAUUGUUUCUUUGCAUAAAAAUGAAGUUUCAAUGGUGACCAAUAAAAAAUGUGGGACAUACAUUUCAGCUAUCGGUGAUUCAAACUCAACUGUCGUUGAAGAAGAUGGAGACAAGAAGCGAGCAUCUGGAAAUGAAGUAGAAGGUUUAUGCCCUUGCCUUGCCAUCUUUAACUUUUUUUUUUUUUUCUUGCUUGUUCCUCCUAUAGCAACUGCCAGUGAUUAACAAGCAAUUUAUCUAUUUUGGCAACAGAAGUUGAUUUACAAUCAAACAUUUCAUAGCCUUCUAUUGGUUAUGAUAUCAAAAUGUUAUAAAUGCCUGAACAUAUUUUGAACAACCGCAGGAACGCAAAUGACAGUGAGAAGUUCAACUGAAAUUGUUGGAGAAGAAGAAAAUGCACCAAGAAGAGGGAUGAUUUUGCCCUUCCGACCCCUUUCACUUACAUUCAACCAGAUGAAUUACUACGUCGAUAUGCCAGCAGUAAGUCAUCAGCUCAGUACAUGAUUAAAAAUGUGACAUAAAUGUCUGAUUGCUUUGGGAUCAACUCUUUCAUUUAUGUGACCAAAUUUACUUGGCAUUCUACUCCAGGAAAUGAAAACUGAAGGAGUUGGAGAAGAUCGUCUUCAACUGUUACACAGUGUCAGUGGUGCAUUCAGACCAGGAGUACUGACAGCAUUAAUGGGUGUAAGUGGUGCAGGGAAGACAACUCUAAUGGAUGUAUUGGCAGGAAGGAAGACCGGAGGAUACAUCGAAGGAGACAUUAAGAUUUCUGGUUACCCCAAAAAACAAGAAACGUUUGCUCGUGUCAGUGGUUAUUGUGAACAGACUGACAUUCAUUCUCCUCAUGUUACUCUCUAUGAAUCUCUUCUCUACUCAGCAUGGCUUCGUCUUUCUUCAGACGUCGAUACAAAAAAACGAAAGGUACUAAUUUCGUCUAUACUCUUUCGGCAGGCAUUGAAAGAUUACCUAAUGAUCCAAUUGUGAUUAUUUUUUUUCUUCUUCCUUUUUGUCCGGCAGAUAUUCGUUGAUGAAGUUAUGGAGUUGGUUGAGCUUAAACCAUUGAGGGAUGCUUUGGUUGGCCUUCCAGGAGUAAAUGGUCUUUCAACAGAGCAAAGGAAGAGAUUGACAAUUGCUGUAGAAUUGGUUGCUAACCCUUCAAUCAUCUUCAUGGACGAGCCAACAUCUGGCCUUGAUGCUAGAGCAGCUGCUAUUGUCAUGCGUACGGUUAGAAAUACAGUGGAUACAGGGAGAACGGUUGUGUGCACAAUUCAUCAGCCAAGCAUAGACAUUUUUGAAGCAUUUGAUGAGGUAUUGCUGAAUUCUUAUAAAUUUUCUUGGGAAUGUGUUAUUCUAAGUUUUCUAGUCUAAUUUCAUUGCACAUAUUGAAAGUGAUGUUGUGCUUGUUGCAGCUUUUGUUAAUGAAAAGAGGGGGCCGUGUCAUUUAUGCUGGACCUCUUGGUCGCGAAUCUCACAAGCUCAUAGAAUAUUUUGAAGUAAGCUUGCCUUUUUUUCCUUUCUGUGGUUGGUUCUCUUAUCAUUAAAUAGACAAAUGAUUGACUUGAUCAUUACAUUAUCUCUAAUGAAUUUUUGGCUCAGAAUUUGAGCAGUAGAAAUACGAUUACCGCCAAUAGGAAUCAAAAUGUGUACUAAUAUUUAUGAAAAUUCAGGCUGUUCCAGGGGUUCCUAAAAUUAAGGAUGCAUACAAUCCUGCAACAUGGAUGCUCGAGGUCAGUAAUAUUUCGGUUGAGAAUCAACUGGGAGUGGAUUUUGCUGAAAUUUAUGCCAAUUCAUCUCUUCAUCAGUAAGUUUGAGCCCAAAGCCCAACACCUUUUUUGGUUACUCAUAUUGUUUUUUAUAUUGCCGCGAAUUCUUGGUCUUUUUCUUAUAUUUUACUUUCUUGAAUCACUUUUCAGGAGAAAUCAGGAACUUAUCAAAGAGCUUAGUACUCCGGAACCUGGCUCGUCGGAACUCCACUUCCCAACCAAGUACUCCCAACCAUUUUUCACUCAAUUUAAGGCUUCUUUCUGGAAACAGUAUUGGUCUUACUGGAGAAAUCCUCAAUACAACGCUAUUCGAUUUCUCAUGACUGCCACCAUCGCCAUUUUCUUCGGUCUUCUCUUCUGGGACAAAGGACAGAAGAGGUAAGUCGACUCCCCUUUCCUUUUCCUUUUGGUGCUUAUGCUGAAACUGAUUAGACUACAAUUAGUAGUGCAGAAUCUUUUAGGAGCUAAAUUGAUAAAAAAAUUUCCCCCCUUUUUUUAAACAGUUCCAGACAACAGGAUCUACAGAAUCUUUUAGGAGCUAUGUAUUCGGUUUGUCUUUUCCUUGGGACCACCAAUGCCGUGUCUGCGAUACCUGUUAUCUGUGUUGAGAGAACGGUAUACUACCGUGAAAGGGCAGCCGGGAUGUUUUCUGCACUGUCUUAUGCACUUGGUCAAGUACGAAAUACAUUUCAUCUCUUCAAGAACUUAAUGUGCUUCGAUAGCUAACUUCCGCUUGUGAUAGAACAGGAACUUUAUUAUUCGCAAACUGACUAAUGAACACUCCCUAAUGCUGCAGGUUGCAGUAGAGAUAAUAUAUGUGACAGCUCAAACUGUCAUGUAUGUUCUUAUCCUUUACUCGAUGAUAGGAUUCAAGUGGGAGCUGGGAAAAUUCUUCUUGUUCUUCUACUUCAUGUGGGCGUCUUUUGUCAUUUUCACAUUGUACGGAAUGAUGAUUGUCGCAUUGACUCCUGGCCAGCAAGUUGCUACCAUUGUCUUGUCCUUCUUCCUUGCACUAUGGAACUUGUUCGCCGGUUUCAUGAUUCCCAGACAGGUAUGUGCUGCAAACACAAUACUUCUUCCAUAUUUGAUUUUCCAUUUUUAUCCACGUCAAUAUGAAUAAAAUCGUCCCUAAAGCCGUUGAGGGCAUAGCAUAAAAAAUUUGUGCAGCUGCGUAAGCUGAAAAUGAACAAGACCGUGCUGAAUGGAAGCAAGUUUUAAUUUUUAUUUCUUCACAAUUCUGUAGCAUCUAUUUUUUAGACUAACAGUUGAUGUGCAUACACAACAGGAAAUUCCUGUCUGGUGGAGGUGGUACUACUGGCUUUCUCCGGUGGCUUGGAAUCUGUAUGGCCUUGUGACUUGUCAAGUUGGUGACGUAGAGACACAGGUGCAGAUCCCUGAUGGCACUUCAAUGACAGUGAAGCAAUUUGUCAAAGAUAAUUACGAUUACAAGACUGAUUUCAUUCCUGUGGUCGCUGUUGUGCAUCUUGCCUGGAUUGCCGUCUUCUUAUUUGUGUUUGCCUAUGCCAUCAAGUCCAUCAACUUCCAAAGGAGAUAAACCUGUAGCUCAAAUCUUUAGAAUGCUACCUAUUCUUAGAAUUGUAAUCUUUCAAUUUUGCUUGUUACUUGACUUUUAAGUAGAAAUUGUGAUAUGGAAUCCAAUGUAUUCUUUUAUGAAAAUUAAAUGAAUAAAGAAGUUUAAUUUUUGCAAAGAAUUUUUCAUAGAAAUUGUGAUAUCUACAUAUUUCUUAGCCCAUGGAAAAAUUCAGUUUAAGAAAAUACCCCCACUUGAUCCUGGAGUUUUCUCUAGGAUUCAAACAAUCUUCUGAGUUUUCUCUUCAAAGUUGUGAUAUUUUACGAAUCUUGAAAGUAUUUACUGCAUGCAGAUGGAGAAUUAAAAGUCCAUUAACCUGGAAGUAUGCCAGUUUUCUGCUUUCGCGUUUCUAAAUAAAACAGUGGGAUUUUCACUAGCUAGUGAAUUAUCAUCCGACCCCUGUACAGCUUUGUCUAUGUUUUUGGUUUGGUAUCUCUCCCUCUUUCAUUCAUCAAGUUAAUAUUAUUUACAUGUUUACUGUGGGGAUUUUCUCACAGAGCAUUGAUACCUGGACCUCCAGUAUCUGAUGAAUGUGUCAGUUAGACACUAGGGAUGGCAAUGGAUUGGAUCUGAUCCAAUAUCCACGUGAUCCAAAUCCAAUCGGAUCGGAUUUGGAUCGGUUUAAAAUGGAUUUGGAUCGGAUUUGGAUAUUAAUGUGCGGAUCUAAGAUGGAUCUGGAGCAGAUCUGGAUCUAUCUUAAUAUCUAAAUCCAUAUCCAUAUCCACUCAUCUUUUAAUUUUAUUUUAUUUUAAAAGUUUCUUAACAAUUGUGAAAUUAUAAUGAUAAUAAAUUUUAUUCAUAACAUAUUAGUAGUAUUUACCAUGCAUUUAAACUCUUAAAACUUAAAGGUUAGUUUUGUAAAUUUAAAGGUCAGUCAGCCUCAAAACAUGUACAUGCAAUAUUCAAAUUGUAAGUCAAGUAAUAUAACUUGACAAUUUAUUUUAUUAUAUUGGCCAAAUAAUUUUUAAGGAAUAUAGUUAUUCAUAUAUUUAGUCAAAUAUGGUCAUAAUAAAAAUAAUAAAGGACUGAAUAUAAAUCAUAUUUAAUUUAUAUAUCAUUAUCUAAUGUUGUAGGAAUGAGGGUAGGUGUAUCGUGGAUAUUAGAAUGGUGAAGGAGACAAUAGAAUAUUAGAUUGAUCUUACUCUUGCAAUUACUUCGGAAUGAUAUUUUAUUAUCUUUCUUAUUUGUUGUUUUGGUGUAAAAGUAUAAGCUACAAUAUUUAUUAUAUUUUUGAGAAAAAUUAUAUAAUUUAUUUGUUAUCAAUACAUUUUACCCUUCAAUUUUCAAUCUAAAAAAUUAUUACUUUUUUAUUACUGAAUUUUAGAAUUCAUGACGAAUCUAGAGCAGAUUUGGAUUUUAAUUUUUUUUUUCCGGAUUUGGAGCAGAUAUAGAUAUUUAUUUCUUUUUUGGAUCUGGAUAUGGAGCGAAAAAUGUGGAUUCAUGACGGAUCUAAAGCAGAUACGGAUCUUGAUUUUUAUUAUGGAUUUAGAUUUGGAGCAGAGUAGAUCCAACCCAUAUCUGCCCCAUUGCCAUCCCUAUUAGACACCCGAGACCAUAAUAAGUAGCAUCCAAACCGUAAAUCCGUUACCUUAUUUGUCAUAUUUAAUAGAUUGUCUAAAUUUGACUAGAAUUAUAGUACUAUGUAUAAUUAGGUGUAUGAACUCAACCGAUUGUUAUAAUUAAGCCCAAAUAGCAGUUUACAUAUAAGUCUAAUAGAAGGCCACAUAUAAAGCCCAACAUAGAAAAUAUGAAAAUAAACUCUCACUACUGUAUAGAGAGACUUGAACCCUCUACCUAAUACAAAAGAUAUUAACAAAUUCCACCAAAUAAUUGUCAGCUAUUAUACCCUAAAAUUAAGAAUUUUUUGAUAGAUAUUUUCUCAUAAAAUCAAUAAACUUUGACCAUAUCAAGCAAAAUAGUAAUAUCAAUCCACUUACCUACUCUUGGUACUACUAGUAGGAAGUUAAGUUAUAAUUUUAGAGUGUUUGAUAAAUACUUGCAAUUCUGUUGGAAGCUUAAGUCACAAUUGUUUGAUGAUGAAAUUUUGAAAAUAGAUUUAUUAUUUAAUUCAUAAUAUUUUUGAAAAGAAACAUUAUUUCACCUUUUAAUAUGUAUUUAAUAAUUGAUCCAAUGUAUGAGAAAGGAUAAUUUAUUUUAAUUAUGAUAUAUGAUAGGUGUAAUGUCAAGAUCAAAGCUACUUGAUUCAAAGUUCAAACCAAACCCACAUCAAUUAACUAGAGUGGUUCGUUAAAAGGAAAAAAAGAAAAAGAAAAAGAAAAAAAAAAAAGAGUUGUGGUUAUUGAAAUCCAAAGUCAUGCCGGGUCACCUUCAAACUCGUACUUUGGACAUUCCUUUAUUUCCCUGGUGUCUUGCUACAGAUAUUUAUGGAAACCGAAUACAUAACAUUUUUUUUAAUUGGGUAUUUAAAAGACAGGAUCAUUAUUUAUAUAUUUUAUUUAUUUAUUAUAUUUAAAUUUGUUAAUUGGAAAAAUCCAACGUCUAAAACCACUAGCCCUUGAAUUUCAGAAACGGUUAUAUUAUAAUUAUGCCUAUCUGAUAAUAAUAAUGCAAGCUGAAGCUCUUUGAAAAGGGCAAUAACAAUAAUAAUAAUAAUAAUAAUAAUGCAACUAAAUGAUUAUAAAAACUUUUGUUAUGUUAUAUAAUCAUGUAACAUAUAUGAUUAUGUAGUAAUUAUAAAAAUUUUAUUUAAUUAUAAAAAUAAUAUAAUUUUAUUAUUUUAUACCUACAGAACUGUUGAAUGAAAAUUCAAUUAACUGCUGCAUAAUUGUAUAGUUAUGUAACGUAAGGAUCUCCGAUUAUAAAAUAAAAAGUAAAAGAAGUCCCCUGUUAAAGAAAAGCGAUGUGAUUACUGAUGGAGUUCAUGAACAAAGAAAACUGAAGUGAACAAGAAUCUUGUGCCCCACGUGACUAUAUGUGGGCCCGCUGUGCACGAGGAUUAAGGAUGCUUUCACUCUGUUCACGUGGGAAGAUCAUAAGCAAAAUUUCUCGUCCAGUGGCAGUACUAUUGUGAUCCGAGCAUAUUACUUGCUGGAGGACUGAUUCCAAUCAGAAUGCGACACAGUAGCACUCAUUGAGUUGACCUCCGGACAUGCUAAGAGAAAAUUCAUCACUUGACCAAUUCAGACAAUUUGUCUGCCUGAGAAAUGGAGAUGCGUAGGCGAUAUAUAGAUUUUGCUACCUUACAUGUAAUAUAAGGUACAACCUUUUACAAGGCUGUAGGCUUAAAUAAGACCCAUAAUUCAAUUUGUGAGAGACUCUAAGGUAGCAGCUCCCUCUAUAUAUAUAUAUAUAUAUAUAUAUAUGGGUCCUUCUAUCUUACAUGCAUGCAAGAUACAUCCCCUUACAUGAAUAGUGCAUGUGUGGGACCUACACACUAUUCAUGUGAGAGAAAUAUAUCUUACAUGCAUGUAAGAUAAUGUUUGCCUAUAUAUAUAUAUAUAUAUAUAUAUAUAUAUAUAUAUAUAUAUAUAUAUAUAUAAAUAGCACUCACACCCAAACAGGCUUUGCCUAACUUUCUGGAAAAUAUUAUUAACUGUACUGCAACUGAAAGAAAGGCUUUUGUCUUUUGAGCUGAUUGCAUUACUGCCCAGUGCAAAUUGAGCUUUCUUGAGAAAAGCAAAAAAUGAUCCUUUCCCUUUCUUUCUGGAUUAAAAAUCUUUCUCAUUAUCACGCGCAUGCAUCGUUGAGUGUGAGCUCGGCAAACUUCUAACGUUAUCUCUGACUUUGAUGAUUCCAGCCAAUUUCCUCUCUUUCAUACCAGAGGCGAGGGUAGUACAAUGAAGUUGCUAUGUAACGGCACGUUUGGUGUUUUAUAUAUAUAUAUAUAUAUAUAUAUUUUCAACUUGUAUUUUUUUUCAAAAAAAAAAAAUGGUAAUAUUGAAGGGGACGAAAUCAUAAAUUACUUAAAAUGGCUAAAUUAGCCUUUGUUGUCUUGAGUUUCCAAAGGUCUAAAAUGUGGGUCUGAUAUUCGUCAAGAGUAAUGAUACAACCAUAAAUUAUUGUAUAAAUUUAUUUUGUACAAACUGACGUGGCACUAAUUCAUUGGUUGAAUAAAAAUAUAAAAUAAUAAAAACAAAUCAUGUGGGUCAAGUGAUAUUUAAUUCAACCAAUCUUAUCAUGCCACAUAAAUUUAUACAAAAUAAAUUUGUACAAGAAUUUGUAGCUAUAUCAUUACUCAUUCGUCAAAGACACUAUACUGACUAUAUAAAGGGAACUUUUCAUUCAAAAAUGUAUUCUCUCUUUCAAUUUCUUAUACACACAACUGAGGGACAAUAGUGCUCUUGCAAAAUCUAUUAUGUGUGUGUCUCUCUCUCUCUUUUUUUCCCCUUUAAUUUUCUGCAUCUCUCUUCAGUUAUGUGUAUGAGAAAUUGAAAGAGAGAAUCCCUUUCUAAAUGAAAAGUUCCCUUUUUAUGUAUAUGUAGUUGUUUAUGGAGGAAAAUAACUAUCCUUCUCUUGAAUGUCCGUCCAAGUGCAGCUGCUUCGUGUUCACGAUAAUGUGGUGAAAUAGGAUUUGCUGGUGUAAAUCUAUGCACCUACAACUCUAUAAAUUAAAAUGGUGUUGUUGAGUUAAUAUUUUUUUAUAUAACCGAGACAUUAAUUUUGUAUUUAAAUGAUGUCACAUACAUUUAAAGGAUCAUUCUUUCGUAAAAUUUUAUAAUUUUUUGAAAACUGGAACGCACAUGGAAUUGGCUUUUAGUUCAGGUUUAAUAUAUGGAUCGUAUCUACCUAUCACAUAUUCUCUUGUCUCUCUUCAUAUGAUCUUAUCCCCAUUUUCAUGCUCUGUCCCUCUUCUUUUUUUUUUUUUGAUUGAUAAUGAUAUGAAUUCUAGAAAACUGAAAUGCACAUGCAAUCAUACAGUACCCACUCCAAAAAAACCAGCCUGUAAAGUCUUAAUAAACUGUAACUUAGCUUUAAAAUAACUAAUUAUUUUGUCAUCUCAUAUUCUCAUCCAGAGGAAAACAUUAUUGGUCAAUAUUAAUACGUGCCAGCAUUACAAUAACUUCGGGAGCAAAACUAUAUUAUAAUUUUAUUUGUUCUAUCUAAAUCCUGGCUGGCGAGAUUCUCCGCAUUAAUUUCGAAAUUUUCAGGUAAAAGAAACAAAAUAUUAAUUAAUGUGUCAUAUUUAUUGAAUUAGAAAGAAAACGAAACACACACCGAUCACACAACGGUGCUUCAGUUUUUUUUUUACAAAAAAAAAUAAAAAAUAAAAUCAGGAUUCUCUUCUGAUCUGAUCUUCUCAUGAGUAAAUAUACAUGUGGUGAUUGAUUGUUAAUAAAAUAAAAAAAUAAAGAAGUUAAAUCAUAUCCAUACACUAUCACUUAAAGACAGAUAACAUAAAAUCUUUUAAAAGCUCAUGAGAGCUCAGAUGAAGAGAGGAUAUUUUUUCCAAAAAAAAGAACCACAAUCACUAAUUUCUCAUAAUUUCCCCACUUCAUUUCCUCUGUAUGUAACUCCUUAAUUUGUUUAAUAAAUGAACCAUGUAUGCAUGCCCACCAUUCUGUACUCUAUAUUCAGCAUAUAUUAAAGUUAGCACGAUCUAAUGUGACAGAGGAGAGAGAAGAUAAAGAACAAGAAAAUAGUAGAAAAUUAAAUUAAAUUUACAUUGAUGGAUAAUUUAGUAAUUAUAAGUUUACAUUGAAUGAGGUUUUUGGUUAUUUUAACACAAAAGUAAUAACUCAUAGUAUGCAUAAUCGUAAAUUUUUAUAAUGUGUCGGGAUUUUUUUUUUUUUUUUUUUGUUUUAUAAUGUCUCAUCCUCACCACCCAAUGAAACGUAUUUAUGAAAGAAUAAAUUGCAUGGUUAUAGAAAAUAGAUUUUUUUUUUAAAAUUCGGAAUCUAGCCAUUUAGAUGCACCAUAAAUAUUUCCAAUAUGAGUGGUUGAGCUGCUACCCUCACACUCGUGAGAGCAGUGGUUCAAGCCCCCACAAAAAUAUUGUGGGGCUAAAAUUUCAUUCUCAAUUAUAUAAAUAAUUGUCUCUCUUGAAAUGAGAGUGUAGUCAAUAUCUCUCUGUUUGAUUGUAAAUAUAUUAGUAAAUAUUCUCAUGUAAUGUGAGUUGUAAUCAUAUACAUUAGUCUUUAUAAUAAAUAAAAAAAAAAUUCCAAUUUUAUGGCUUAUAAGAACGUCAUCAUUACGAGAUUCACUACCUUUGAAUUUCUUUAAUUCGUUAGUGAGCUUUUUUCACAUAGUCAAUAUUAUUUCAAAAACAAAAAUACUAGACAAUUCAAAAAUUAGGACUUGAAAGGUACGUCUUCUCAGCCACCAUAUAUGAGCAGCUCAUGCAGCAACGCCGCCCCUUAGGAGUGGGCAUAAAUUACACAAACGGAGCUAAUCUUGUUAAAAUUAGCUAAAAAGAUAUCAUUUUAACAGGGACUGAUAGGGACUCUAAAGAUUUAAUAUUGAUCAUACACGUCUUAAUUAUCUUUUUUUUUAAUCUAUUUGAUGAUCUCGGAUAUAUUAUAUAUAUUUCUCUAGGAUCUGUGGUAUAUAUAAACCAUGGUUAGAUGGUUUCAUUUUAGUCAACACCAUUAUCAUCAAUAAAAAAGAAUUAUAUAGCAAAGGGGAAUUUUUCUUUUUACUUUGACUGCUCAGGAAAAUAAUGACUCGUGUAAGCCGUGCAUUUUUCACAAAUUCUGUCAACAAAAUUCAACAAGUCCCAAUAGAUAGUACUGUAUCAGUAGUAAUUGGGAAUACUAUUGGCUAAUUAAUUUAAUUCGUAAUUAGACAAGUAAAUCAGAAAAAAUAUCAUGCCGUUGUUGUCAGCAUUUUGUCUAGAUUUUUUAUAUCUAAAUAUCAGUGAUAAGAUUAUCAGCAAGUCUCCAUCAACUUGUUGUUUUUUAAAUAAAUAUAAAUCAAGAUGGACCGACAAAUCUCCAUCACCUUGCUUGCUUUUUCGUAAUUAUAGGAGACUGAAAAUAUAUUUAAAAUUGUAGGGUUACCUGCUUGGAGGGGUAAGUAACUAAGUACAAUAAUUGCCAACUCAUUAAACGGCGUCGUGGUGAUUAAAAUCACGACUUCAAUCAAUAUGUUUAGAUUUUUUUUUUUUAAUGGUCAACGAUAGUUAAGGACUAAUGUGUAAAGAAAUUGAACAAGGUGGGUUCAUUUGUCAAAAUAUCCAAACCUGUGGGUUUUUUUAUUUUUAUUUCUCUAGAAGCAAAAGGUUUGAGUUGAGCCCCUCUUUUACGAAUGCGAAGAAUUACUAUUUGCCGAUGAAUAGAGUCUACAAAAGAAGACGAAGAAACUCUUCGUCAAUUAUUUGACCAAUAUAAAUAUAAAAUCAAAAGCUCCUCCCAAAUUGCUGCAGCGUCUCGAUGCAAUUAUUUCGAUUUUUUUUUUAAAUAAAAAUAAUCGAAGAUUCCUCCUCAUCUUCGCCAACUACUAGCUGUCAAGAAAGCCUCAUUAAAAUCGACAUCAUGAAUUGGACAACAGACUUCUUGGUCUAGUUGAUAAUUAAUUCAUGAAAAACAAAACCCGAAACGUGAUCCAAAAGUCGAUGUAUAAAUAAAUAAACAGAGAGAGCCCGCCUCUUUUGACGAGCGUUACAUCGUAAAUUAUUUCCAUUACCGAAAUAUAAUCAUUAAUCAAUAAAAUUUCAUAGACUAAAUAAACAAAUAUAACCAAAAUAACAAAAUAAAACGUGUUGCAAAAUUAAGAAUUUUAAAUUAAAAAAUAAAUAAAUGCAGAACCCGCCUGCUUUGACGAACGUUCCACGCAAGUAGUCUUUCUUUUUAUAAAUUGCCAGGCUGCUGCAUCCACUAGCACCCUUCACACUCCCUUUUAAAAUUCAUUUCUCCCACCAGCUUCAAUUUCAUUCUUUGAUUCAAGCCAUAAGCUGUUUUGUAAAGUUUUUCGUUUAUAUUCAAUCGGUUUACAUCUUAUUUUCUAAAGACUUUAAUAAGAAAAAGAUAAUAAAAUAAAGAAGAAGAAGAAGAGGUUUGGAUUGAACACAGCAAGAUGAGUGCCACCGUGGCAGACGAUCUAGCAAGAUCAUUUUCAGUGAGAGGGGGGCAGAGCAUAUCAUCGGGUAGCCGCCGGAGCUGGGCGUCGGCCAGCAUCCGGGAAGUAUGGAAUGCGCCGGACAACGUGUUCAGUAGGAGUGAAAGGCAGGACGAUGAAGAGGAGCUGCGGUGGGCCGCCAUUGAGCGGCUGCCGACCUACGAUCGGCUAAAGAAGGGCAUGCUAAACCAAGUUCUUGAAGAUGGAAAAGUUGUUAAACAUGAAGUUGAUGUCAGUAAUCUUGCCAUCCAAGAUAAGAAGCGGUUGCUCGAAAGUAUAUUGAAAAUCGUUGAAGAGGAUAAUGAAAAGUUCCUUAAAAGAAUUAGGCACAGAACUGAUAGGUAAACAAGUAUUUUUCAUUUUAUUUUGUUUGAUUUUGCCGAUUGAAUCAUUUGACUUUUUUUUUUUUUUUAAUGGUACACUUCUUUGUGAUUAAUGAUUGUAACAGAGUGGGAAUUGAGAUUCCUAAGAUUGAAGUUCGAUAUGAUCAUUUAUCCGUAGAAGGUGAUGUGCAUGUUGGAACCAGAGCUCUCCCUACCUUGCUUAAUGUUGCCUUGAACAUGUUGGAGGUAUUUUUUUCCCCUUUUCCAUUUAUUCUUGGUAUCUUUGUCUUCCAAUUUCUAAAAUUCUUUUGAAGAUUAAUUGUUGUUCUUCUGAUUUUUCAUGGAAAAUAGAGCGCUCUAGGAUUGUUGCAUUUAGUCCCAUCUAAGAAAAGAAGCGUUCGGAUCCUUAAAGAUGUCAGUGGGAUUGUCAAACCAUCAAGGUAAUUAAUUUCAUGAAAUAUGUUUUGUGAUCUGAUUAACCAAUAUUUGUUGUAUCGGUUACUGACAUAGAAAUUUCAGGAUGACACUACUUCUUGGUCCUCCUGGUGCCGGGAAAACAACAUUGAUGUUGGCUCUUGCUGGGAAGCUUGGUAAAGAUUUGAGGGUCUGUUUCCCAUCUCUUUACAAUUUGAUCUCUGAUUACUUUAUGUUUAAUUAUCUUAGAUAAGUUUCUGACAAUCUGGAUUUGGAGAACUGCACAGGCAUCUGGGAAAAUCACAUACUGUGGCCAUGAAUUGAAUGAGUUUGUGCCACAGAGAACCUGUGCUUACAUCAGUCAACAUGAUCUUCACCAUGGAGAGAUGACAGUGAGAGAGACACUGGAUUUCUCAGGAAGAUGCUUAGGUGUUGGUACAAGAUAUGAACUGCUCGCUGAACUUUCGAGAAGAGAGAAACAAGCAGGAAUUAAGCCAGAUCCUGAGAUUGAUGCAUUCAUGAAAGCCGUGGCAGUUGCAGGCCAAGAAACUAGUUUGGUUACAGACUAUGUUCUCAAGGUUUGCUCUCCAUUUCAACUUUGUUUUGUUUCACACGAUCGUAACAUAUUUCAUGAUACAUAAAAUUUAUUAACCAUAACAGAUUCUUGGCUUGGAUAUAUGUGCCGAUACUAUGGUUGGUGAUGAGAUGAGAAGAGGUAUUUCUGGUGGUCAGAAAAAGCGUGUUACA
rnacentral:lncRNA from 1 species